rnacentral:rRNA from 1 species
CUGCCCUCCCCACCGGGAUAACGCGGCGAAAGCCGCGCUAAUACCGGAUACCCCGGGGCCCCCGCAUGGGGGCGCCGGGAAAGCUCCGGCGGGGGAGGAUGGGGUCGCGUCCCAUUAGGUAGUUGGCGGGGCGACGGCCCACCAAGCCGACGAUGGGUAGCCGGGUUGAGAGACCGAUCGGCCACAUUGGGACUGAGAUACGGCCCAGACUCCUACGGGAGGCAGCAGUGGGGAAUCUUGCGCAAUGGGGGCAACCCUGACGCAGCAACGCCGCGUGCGGGAUGACGGCCUUCGGGUUGUAAACCGCUUUCAGCAGGGAAGAACCUAUGACGGUACCUGCAGAAGAAGC